CGAACGCUGGCGGCAGGCCUAAUACAUGCAAGUCGAACGGCUCUUCGGAGCAGUGGCGGACGGGUGAGUAACGCGUGGGAAUGUGCCCUUUGGUACGGAACAACACAGGGAAACUUGUGCUAAUACCGUAUGUGCCCUUCGGGGGAAAGAUUUAUCGCCAUUGGAGCAGCCCGCGUUGGAUUAGGUAGUUGGUGAGGUAAAGGCUCACCAAGCCUACGAUCCAUAGCUGGUCUGAGAGGAUGGCCAGCCACACUGGGACUGAGACACGGCCCAGACUCCUACGGGAGGCAGCAGUAGGGAAUCUUGCGCAAUGGGCGAAAGCCUGACGCAGCCGUGCCGCGUGUAUGAUGAAGGUCUUAGGAUUGUAAAAUACUUUCACCGGGGAAGAUAAUGACGGUACCCGGAGAAGAAGCCCCGGCUAACUACGUGCCAGCAGCCGCGGUAAUAC
rnacentral:rRNA from 1 species